AGAUAGUCAGAAAGUUGAGGCAGUUAAACGCCGUUUGGCAGGCAAAAGAGCUGAGGCGGUUAAAAUAUGUGUUGAGGAUGGAAAAUGAUGAGUUGAGGAGGGUAGAUGAUGAAAGGAGGCAGUUAAAAGUAAUGCAGCAG